rnacentral:rRNA from 1 species
UGGGGAAUAUUGGACAAUGGGCGCAAGCCUGAUCCAGCAAUGCCGCGUGUGUGAAGAAGGCCUUCGGGUUGUAAAGCACUUUUAUCAGGAGCGAAACGCUGUCGGCUAAUACCCGGCGGAACUGACGGUACCUGAGGAAUAAGCACCGGCUAACUUCGUGCCAGCAGCCGCGGUAAUACGAAGGGUGCAAGCGUUAAUCGGAAUUACUGGGCGUAAAGCGUGCGUAGACGGUUUCUUAAGUCUGCUGUGAAAUCCCCGGGCUCAACCUGGGAAUGGCAGUGGAUACUGGGAGGCUAGAGUGUGUCAGAGGGUGGUGGAAUUCCCGGUGUAGCGGUGAAAUGCGUAGAGAUCGGGAGGAACAUCAGUGGCGAAGGCGGCCACCUGGGACAACACUGACGCUGAGGCACGAAAGCGUGGGGAGCAAACAGGAUUAGAUACCCUGGUAGUCCACGCCCUAAACGAUGCGAACUGGAUGUUGGUCUCAACUCGGAGAUCAGUGUCGAAGCUAACGCGUUAAGUUCGCCGCCUGGGGAGUACGGUCGCAAGACU